CCCAUCACAGCCGUCCCCCCCUCCCUCGAACAACUUCCGGUCCCACUGCCAGGCGACAGGCUGCGAUGCCGAAUGCCGAGAGCUCCGGCGCCGGGGAGGCUGCUGGGGGAAAGGAGCCAGGAUUGCAGGAUACGAGGAGACAUUCGAUAGCAUUUAUGCCAAGAUCAAUUGCAGCCAAAGGAACGUAAGCAAAGAGGGUGAGAAUAGAGCGAACGGGGAAAGAAAACUUAAGGGACAGUUUCCUUAGACGAUGUGUGUCUGAGUGAACAGCAGUCAGAAUUUAAAACCCAGAAAGGAGAAGAGUCCACGUGAGAAACAACUUGGAAAAGGGAGAGAUUGAGAAGAAUGUUUUACAGGCUGUCAAGGUUGCAGUAAUUGUUCUUACGGAGCCACCUGAACACGAAC